rnacentral:rRNA from 1 species
GACGAACGCUGGCGGCGUGCUUAACACAUGCAAGUCGAACGGGAGUAUCGAAGAAGCUUGCUUUUAAGAUACCUUAGUGGCGGACGGGUGAGUAACGCGUGAGGAGCUGUCCUAUGCAGGGGGACAACAGUUGGAAACGACUGCUAAUACCCCAUAAGCCGAGAGGUAAAAGGAGCGAUCCGGCAGAGGAGGUACUCGCGUCCUAUCAGCUAGUAGGUGAGGUAACGGCUCACCUAGGCGAAGACGGGUAGCCGGCCUGAGAGGGCGAACGGCCGCACUGGAACUGAGAUACGGUCCAGACUCCUACGGGAGGCAGCAGUGGGGAAUAUUGGGCAAUGGGGGAAACCCUGACCCAGCGACGCCGCGUGGGUGAAGAAAUCCUUCGGGAUGUAAAGCCCUGUUGUAUGGGAAGAGCAGAAGACGGUACCAUACGAGGAAGCCCCGGCAAACUACGUGCCAGCCGCCGCAGUAA